GGUCUCAAGCUUGUGAAGAUGGUCAUGGAGAGUGCCAUUGUUCAUGUACUCGAAAACCAAGACACGUUCGUUAUUGUCUUCACAAUAGCCAUAUAGGGUAACGAGGUUCUUGUGAUUGAGUCGAGACAGAAACUCUAGCUCAUUGAGGAAUGCACUGUCUUUGUCCUCUUGUCUAUACUUUGAACCACCAGCAUAGGAAGAUGAGGCUGAAGCUUCUGCCCUUUUUAUGGCUACUUCUCGACCAUCAUCUAGUGUAGCAUGAUAAACAGAACCAAAACUUCCUGUCCCGAUUUUGUGCUCUUCAGAGAAGUUAUUUGUCACUUGAAGUAACAAUUGCAAGGAAAAUUCUUCCAAGUGACCCCCAUUUCCCAUACUAAGGAAUUUACUUGGUCUUUUCUCCAAGAUUGAUGGCUGAGGACCUAAUUGAUCUUGAACUUGAGAUGUCUGGCUGCCUUGCUGUGGAG
rnacentral:misc_RNA from 1 species